CAGCCGCCGCGGGAAUACAGAGGGUGCGAGCGUUAAUCGGAUUUACUGGGCGUAAAGCGUGCGUAGGCGGCUAAUUGAGUCGGAUGUGAAAUCCCUGAGCUUAACUUAGGAAUUGCAUUCGAUACUGGGAAGCUAGAGUAUGGGAGAGGAUGGUAGAAUUCCAGGUGUAGCGGUGAAAUGCGUAGAGAUCUGGAGGAAUACCGAUGGCGAAGGCAGCCAUCUGGCCUAAUACUGACGCUGAGGUACGAAAGCAUGGGGAGCAAACAGGAUUAGAUACCCGGGUAGUCCCUGUCUCUUAUAC
rnacentral:rRNA from 1 species